rnacentral:rRNA from 1 species
CAAAUUGAGAGUUUGAUCCUGGCUCAGGAUGAACGCUGGCGGCGUGCCUAAUACAUGCAAGUCGAACGCUUUGUGGUUCARCUGAUUUGAAGAGCUUGCUCAGAUAUGACGAUGGACAUUGCAAAGAGUGGCGAACGGGUGAGUAACACGUGGGAAACCUACCUCUUAGCAGGGGAUAACAUUUGGAAACAGAUGCUAAUACCGUAUAACAAUAGCAACCGCAUGGUUGCUACUUAAAAGAUGGUUCUGCUAUCACUAAGAGAUGGUCCCGCGGUGCAUUAGUUAGUUGGUGAGGUAAUGGCUCACCAAGACGAUGAUGCAUAGCCGAGUUUAGAGACUGAUCGGCCACAAUGGGACUGAGACACGGCCCAUACU